AGAACGAACGCUGGCGGCGUGGAUAAGACAUGCAAGUCGAACGCGACUUAUUUGAUUAGCAAUAAUUAGAUAAGUUGAGUGGCGAAAGGGUGCGUAACACGUGGGAAUUUACCAAAAAGUGGGGAAUAGCUUGGCGAAAGCCAAAUUAAUACCGCAUGUGAUCGAAAGAUCAAAGUCGGGGACCGCAAGGCCUGACGCUUUUUGAGAAGCCCGCGGCCCAUCAGCUAGUUGGCGAGGUAAAAGCUCACCAAGGCUAUGACGGGUAGCUGGUCUGAGAGGACGACCAGCCACACUGGAACUGAGACACGGUCCAGACACCUACGGGCGGCAGCAGUCGAGAAUUUUUCACAAUGG
rnacentral:rRNA from 1 species